rnacentral:rRNA from 1 species
GACGAGCCACCCGAACGUUAUUCGGAAUUACUGGGCUUAAAGGGUGCGUAGGCGGUGCAGCAAGUCGGGAGUGAAAUACCUCAGCUUAACUGAGGAACUGCUUUCGAUACUGCUGUGCUUGAGUGAGACAGAGGUAAGCGGAACUUAGGGUGGAGCGGUGAAAUGCGUUGAUAUCCUAAGGAACACCAGUGGCGAAAGCGGCUUCCUGGUCCAGCACCGACGUUCAGGCACGAAAGCGUGGGGAGCAAACAGG